GGGGGUGCGCCAGUGUGGGAACUGGUCCCGGCUGUAACCCGGGUGCUCUUCAUGAGAUCAGAGGUUCGAUUCCUUACAUCCCCA
rnacentral:tRNA from 1 species